UCAACUUUUAACUUGAUUAUAUAACUCUAGAGCUGUAAUGAAAAGGCUUUCAUAGAUCAUCUAGGUAAGAGGAUGGUAAAUUUUUUUCCAUUUUACCAGUAGAUUCUUGUUUUUAUUUGUUUCCUUUCUAAAAUUGCUUAAUUAUUAUUAUUUUUAGAAGCAAUGUCUUGGUCUGUUGUCCAGGCUGUUGUGCAGUGGCAUGAUCAUAAUUCACUGCAGCCUUGAACUCCUGAGAUCAAGGGAUCCUCCUGCAUCAGCCUCCUGAGUAGCUGGAACUAUAGGCACAUGCCACCAUGCCUGGCUAAUUAUUUUAUUUUAUUUUUUUUGUACAGACAGGGUCUUGCUUAAUUGCCCAGGCUAGUAAUUCAUUUUUUAAUUGACAAAUGACAAAUUGUAUAUGUUUAUGGUGUACAAUGUGAUGUUUUGAGAUAUGAAUACAUUGUGGAAUGAUUAAAUCAAGCUAAUUGACAUAUUCAUCACCCCACAUACUUAAAUGUGUGAAGAUAACAUUUAAAAUCUAUCCUCUAACAAUUUUCAAAUAUACUCUACCUUAUUAUUAAUUAUAGUUAUCAUGUUGCAAAAUAGAUCUCCACAACUUAUUACUCCUAACUUCAACUUUGUAUCUUUUGACCAACAUCUACCCAUUUCCUCCUCCUCCCCAGUCACCUCCAUUCCCAGCCCUGGUAAACACUACAUACCAAAAAUAAAAUUCUAAGCCCUCUAGCUGACUGAUGGGUCCUCCCCUUUGCCCAGGGCAUUCCAAAGUUAUCCUGAAAAACUAGUUCAGGCCAUAACGGGGAGUGGGGGUCAGACAUGCCUCAUUAUGCCCUCCUCCCUUUUGGAGUUCAGGUACAGCUGUCCAGCAUUAACAUCAACACAGAGUCCUUAAGACUGAUAGAAUAGUGCUUGCUUUGGCAGCACAUAUAGUAAACUUGGAAUGAUACGGAGAAGAUUAGCAUCGCCCCUAUGCAAAGAUGACAUGCAAAUUCAUGAAGCAUUCCAUAAAAAAAAAAAGACUGAUAGAACAGAGUUUUUAAGUCUGAUAAGAAACAUUUACAAUCUAUUCUCUCUGAAGCCUGCUACCUGGAGGCUUCAUCUGCUUGAUUAAAAUCUUGGUCUCCACAACCACUUACCAUAACCCAGACAUUUCUUUCUAUUGAUUCCAGGUCUUUAGAUAAUAACUCUUUCAACCAACUGCCAAAAAGAAAGUCUUUGAAUCUGCCUGUGAUCUGGAAGCCCCCCACCUCCUUCUAGUUGUCCUGCCUUUCCAGACUAAAGCAAUGUAUGUCUUACAUGCAUUGAUUGAUGUUCCAGGUCUCCCUAAAAUGUAUAAAACUAAGCUGUAGCCCUACCACCUUGGGCAUAUGUUCUCAGGAUCUCCUGGGACUGUCAGAGACCAUUGGUCACU
rnacentral:snRNA from 1 species